rnacentral:misc_RNA from 1 species
UUAUUUUCUUUACUUUUUCUCUUUUGUGCUUGCUUCAGCCAGCAUUAACUGUCUGUGGCUGAAAUAAAGCACAUAUAACCUAAUUAAAUUAUUGGAUUUUGAUAUUUACCGCUGCAGUUGUGAUAAAAUAGUUUAUUGAUUGAAAAUUCAAUAGUUUUUAUCUACACCAUACCAGAAAUCACGAUUUUAUUCAAAUUAUUUACGACAAUGGUGCAGAAGGGACCUCGUCCUUUAGUAUUGUGUGGACCUUCGGGGUCUGGGAAAAGUACAUUACUAAAGCGCCUCCUAAAAGAAUUUCCUGAUAAAUUUGGAUUUAGUGUGUCUCAUACAACGAGAGGCCCCCGGUCUGGCGAAAAAGAUGGUGUUCACUAUCAUUUCACAACAAAAGAGGAAAUGAUGGCUUCUAUCGCAAGAGGAGAAUUCUUAGAGAGUGCAACAUUCAGUGGGAAUAUGUAUGGUACUAGUAAACGAGCUGUUGAAGAGGUUCGUCGUACUGGUAAGGUCUGUGUUUUGGAUAUUGAUAUAGAAGGUGUCAAACAAGUGAAAAACACAGAUUUGAAUCCAUUACUUGUAUUUGUGAUGCCUCCUUCUAUUGAUGAAUUAGAGAGGCGUUUACGAGCCCGCAACACUGAACAUGAAGAAGCUUUGAGGAAAAGAUUGGAUACAGCUAUAAGAGAAAUUGAAUUUGGUCAACAGCCUGGAAAUUUUCAUAUUAUAAUACUUAAUGACACAGUGGAUAAAGCAUAUGCAGAACUCCGAGAAUUUAUUACACAGAAUGUCGAAGAUAAAGAUCAAGAAUUGAGACAUGGCCCAGAUGCGCACUGAGCUGUAAUGAGGACUAUACUUAAUGCUUAUAUGCAUGAUAGAAUGCAAAAUGAGGACAUCUGCAGAACCAAAGCGACCAAUACAGCCCGAAGAACAAGCAAACUGAAGCAGCAAUGGGUCACUAUAUAGUUUGUACAAACAAUGGAUAAAGAAGACACAGUGGCUGAUGAAAACAACUCGAUUGAAAAGUGAAAAACUUGCAUGAAGGAGCAUGAUUUUGGCAGCUAGAGAAUUUUUCGAGCAACAAUUGCACUCGUUUUUAAUGUUACUCUAUAAUGAAUGUUAAGUGUUUAGUAACGAUGUAAUUUAUGUAUUGCCCCAAAAUGUAUAACAACAAAAGAUUUUAAAUAAAUAAUAAUGCAAACUACCUCCUAAAAUGUGUAGUAGUCAGUAUUUUAAAUGUAAAUGUUAGAAAAUAUAAGAAUGCUUUAAAUAAUAAUAGUUCUUUUUGCGAGCAUUAAUUCUUGUUAUAUGUAUAUUUUGGUGCAUAUUUAGUAUUUUUAUUCUAAUGUAAUUAAUAAGCAAGUGUUUAAGCUUCUAAAGUCAUUUAAACACCAUAAUGUUGCCAUAAAUUUUAAAUGGCAGAUCUACUUUAAAUCUAACGCGCGCAAAUUGUGAUUAUCUUUAAAUUUUAUCCGGUACUACGGUAAAACCGAGGUUUCUGGUGUGUACUGAAACAAAUGUUUGUUGGCCUUGAAUAAAACGAUCAUUAACUGAAUAAAAUGCAUAAUAGUAGAAUUAUUAUUUGUUAGAAUAUUAAAUACAAUUUUAGUUUAAAUAUUAAUACCUAUGAAAUCAAUGUAUGAAAAUAAACUUCGUCACAUAAAAAAGCGCUACUAAUUUUUAAAUGUUAGACAAAGAAUUGCAUUGUUAUUAACCUAUAGGUAGGAGUGGUAGAAUCAGUAGUAUUUAUAAUAGCUAUUAUUAUAUAAUCAUAAUUAUUGUGAUUUGUUGGGAAUAUUAUUUAUGUAGGCGUUGAAAAUAAUUACGUUAUGAAAUCCUUCUCAUAAACAAAAAUUUCAAGAAUUCUUGUAAUUUUGUGCAAUUUUAUGGGUUCUUAUUAUUAUUAGGUACUUAAGAUUUCUUUAAGUCAAAUUGUAAUGAUUUAGAUUGAUCAGCAUCCUAAUUGCAUGUACAAUUUUACUCGAAAUUAUUAAUUUAAAAAAAAGCACCAUUCGAAAUACAGUAAUAAAUAUGUUAUUAAACACAAAAAUCAGCGUACCUAAUUAGGAUUCUUAUUGGGAAAAAUAUCUUAAUAUAUAGUAGAAUUUAGAAAUUAUUAUGCUUGAAAUUAUGAAAAACACAGAAAAUAGUAAUUUUUGUUAGUGUAUAACUUUGAAGAACUAUAAAAACACUACAAAACCGUAUUUAAUAUAGUGCCAAAUUAAAAAACUUAAAGUUCUAAGUAUAAAGUUAUCAUUAAUGGUUUAGUAUAAAAUGUGGUGAGAAAAGUUAACAAAA